UCAUUCAUUCCCAAUCCCUAACAUAUAUGUUACGCGAAGCCAAAACGAGAACGAAAUUCCCAAAUCGCCAAAUCCCUAAAAAUCAAAACACUCACUCCAAGUUCUUCAAUCAUUCUCCAAUCUCUUCACCUUAAAUUACUCGAUCCAAUCCUGUAAUCGUCCCAUCGAGAGAAGCGAUCGAACCCUAGAUCGGCCGACCUUGCAAGAGAAGUCCACCCAGCUUGACGCGAGAGAUCUAGUCGGUUUUUGGAGUUUUGAUUUCGCCAAAGCUUGACGCGAAACCCUAGACGACCACCCAGCUUUCAUUCGAGAAAGUCACUUCUAUUUUUCAUUUGAAUCUUGCAUCUGGGAGGAAUCCAGGAAACGUCUUCAGCUCCUUUUUGAUUUCCUUGGUAAAAAACAUAUAAGCUACGUCAGUGUGAUAGGUAUAUCAGAAAGAUACUGAUUGAACAAGUAAAUUUUGUUAGGCGAACUGAUUCUGCAAUAAGCUAGGUCAGUGUUAUAUCUUUUGAAAAUUAUUUAUAAGUUAGAGACAUCCCUUAUCAUACAAAUCAAUUUUGUGAAGUUGAGUUAGACUCAACCCAAGUUGUAACAAUUUUCAUUGCCGAACACUCCAGAACUUGUCGGAUGGAACGGUCAAUAUUCAUGUACAAUAUGUUUCAAUUUUACGUGCAAUUCUUACCAAUGUGAAUGCCGAUUUGAGAAUGUAAAAAGAGUGUUAUGCAGUGAAGCAAGCUCUGAAGAAAUGAGUACCGAGCUUUCGGACACCUAAGUUGAUCCGGCUCUAUGGGAAAUUAGUGGCCACAUGAAGUGUUGAAGAGGAAUAAAGAAGAGCUAUGAUGAGGGAUUUGAAGCCAUUGCUUGGAGGCUUCUUGCAGAGAUUUUGCUAUACUUUUUCAGUUCCAAUCUGUACUUGUUAUGGUGGAUUUAUGUUUACAUAGUUGUUUUUUAGAAUCUUGACCAAAAUAAAGAUGUUAUUUAAACUCAAAAUUGUUUCAUGUUGGUUUUUUCAAAUAUGUUCUGGUUCUAUUAAAUUGUACAGUUAUUUCAGUUCUUUCUUUGUACAUUUGCUACAAUAAUAUUUUUAAAUAGAUGUAUGUUCCUUCCACAGCAGAAUAUGCAGAGAAUAUAAUCGCUCAAACGGGACUCAAGAAGCCAUCAGACGUUAUAUUGAAUAAAGUGGCUGAAGAGCUUUUCCAAGAGUUAUAUAUCACAGCCCUUUUUCAAGAAGGCCCAUAGAUGGUAAGUAAAUCUGACUUUUCUGCGAUUUCACAUGUCAUGGACAUAUAUAAUAUUUCUAGCGUUACAUUCGAUUGUUAGAUAGAGCCUUGAGACCCGAGAGAACUAUCUCAAGUUCUAGAUUAUAGCUUAUGUAGCACCGACACCUCACAUGAACCUCCUUGUUGAUCCUGCUACAGCAGGUUAAGUAACGAGCUAAGCAAAACUAAAAAUUUACUAGGUUAGUGUUGUGCCGAUGAAACAAAUUUUUGCUCAAGAUUUUGGCUUUUUAUUAACUGCUGGACCCAUUUUCCAAAACUUAGAAAUCGUAGUUGAGCACAAGCUGAAAGGAUUUAGGGGAAAAUUCAGUCGGCUGUCAUUUUGUGAAAAAGAGAGAUAUCAGUCCUUGUUAAACCAUUUUGCGCAUAACCUGAAAUUACAGUGUUCCAAAGAGAGAAGUUGGUGGAAUCAAGCCAACAUCUGUUCUUGAACUGACUUUCUCACCAAUAACAACCAACUCUCUUAAAACCUUAACAGAACAUUCAGUCUCACCACUGAAAGUAUUUCCCGAUAUCAUAGCAUUUAAGCUAUAAAAUCUGGAUUACUAACCAUCCUGAAUAACCUUGCUGUGUUGCAGGUUAGUUUUUGUUUGUUGCAGAUUAGUUUUCGUUAUUCGGUUACUUAACCUGUUGUAGCAGGUUAAACAAAGAGGUCCAUGUUUUGGACUAGGAGCAUGUUAAGAUAAUAAUAAUUAACCCCUUUCUUUACAAUGUUUUGGUUGAUCCUUGCUUAGUAUUUGAUGUAUAUUUAGGCCUUGUUUGGAUAGUUAAGCGCUUAUCAUAUCAUAUAAGUACUUAUGUUUACGCAUUUCUUUAACAAAAGAUAAUUCUUUCGCGGGGUGGGUGAGGGGGGAGUGUUUGGGAGAUAAACCAUUUGUCUCCCUGUCCUUCAACUUAAGCUUUUGGAGAGUUUGUACUGUGAAUGGUUUUUUGUUUUGGGUGGGGGAAGGAGUAAGGAAGUGGCCGUUAAACAACAAGGGAAAUUACCAACACAAGGAUCCAUGAAAAUUAUUAUGAAAAGCUUGGGUGGCAAAGGGUGUAAAUUGCAUGUUGGUGCUGAAGAAACUCUCUCUUCUGUUAAAAGCAAAAGCUUCCAAAAAGCUAGGUUGUCAAUUUUUCUUCUCUUUUCUGUUGUAAAAUUUCUUAUUUCAAUAAUAAAAUAUAUAAGCUGUAA